CCCUUAGAUGUUCUGGGCCGCACGCGCGCUACACUGACGAUGUCAACGAGUUUUUCCUUCGCCGAAAGGUGUGGGUAAUCUUUUGAAACAUCGUCGUGCUGGGGAUAGAUCAUUGCAAUUUUUGAUCUUGAACGAGGAAUUCCUAGUAAGCGCGAGUCAUCAGCUCGCGUUGAUUACGUCCCUGCCCUUUGUACACACCGCCCGUCGCUACUACCGAUUGAAUGGUUUAGUGAGGACUCCUGAUUGGCGCCGCCGCCCCGGCAACGGAGCAGCGGACUGCCGAAAAGUUGUUCAAACUUGAUCAUUUAGAGGAAGUAAAAGUCGUAACA
rnacentral:rRNA from 1 species